CAGGUACCGUCAAUACAACAUACUAUUAAUACGAAGUAAUUUCUUCCCUGUCGACAGAGCUUUACGACCCAAGGGCCUUCUUCACUCACGCGGCGUUGCUGCGUCGGGGUUUCCCCCAUUGCGCAAAAUUCCU
rnacentral:rRNA from 1 species